rnacentral:rRNA from 1 species
UACGUAGGUGGCAAGCGUUGUCCGGAUUUACUGGGCGUAAAGAGCGCGCAGGCGGUCGUUCAAGUCGCGUUGUGAAAGCCCCCGGCUCAACUGGGGAGGGUCACGCGAUACUGAUCGACUCGAAGGCAGGAGAGGGAAGUGGAAUUCCCCGGUGUAGUGGUGAAAUGCGUAGAUAUCGGGAGGAACACCAGUGGCGAAGGCGGUCAACUGGCCCAUAACUGACGCUCAGGCACGAAAAGCGUGGGUAGCGGAACAGG